AGAACAAUGUUGGAGAGGAAUGUGGAGUUCUCAACAAACACUCUGCUUGGGGAACAAAAUCUCAACAGAAGCUCUGCUUAGGGAACAACCCUAACAACAAUCUGGAGAAAGAGGAUACAACCAUGCCAGGAAUAUGAACAAAUGUCUUACCCUAUUGGAAAUCAUGCCACCCUUGGGAAAGCACUGAGAAAUUCUUAAGUAUCCUGUCAUCAUUGUGAAUAUUCACUUUGUUUAAAACAACAAAUUUUGAAAUUUUUUAUUUGUUUAAACAAUGACAUUUU
rnacentral:lncRNA from 1 species